rnacentral:rRNA from 1 species
UACAUGUGGGGCAAGCGUUGUUCGGAAUUACUGGGCAUAAAGGGUGCGUAGGUGGUUUGGUAAGUCAGUGGUGAAAUCGUCCGGCCCAACCGGACACGUGCCAAUGAUACUGCCGAACUCGAGUGCGUGAGGGGUGGGGGGAACGAGCAGUGUAGCGGUGAAAUGCGUAGAUAUCGGGAGGAACACCUGUGGCGAAAGCGGCUCACUGGACCACAACUGACGCUGAUGCGCGAAAGCUAGGGGAGCAAACAGG